CUGGCGGCGUGCUUAACACAUGCAAGUCGAGCGGUAAGGCCCUUUCGGGGGUACACGAGCGGCGAACGGGUGAGUAACACGUGGGUGACCUGCCCUCAGCUCUGGGAUAAGCCUGGGAAAACCGGGUCUAAUACUGGAUAUGACUCCAUGACGCAUGUUGUGGGGUGGAAAGCCUUGUGCGGCUGAGGAUGGGCCCGCGGCCUAUCAGCUUGUUGGUGGGGUNAUGGCCACCAAGGCGACGACGGUAGCCGGCCUGAGAGGGCGACCGGCCACACUGGGACUGAGACACGGCCCAGGACUCCUAC
rnacentral:rRNA from 1 species